rnacentral:rRNA from 3 species
AGAUUAAGCCAUGCAUGUCUAAGUAUAAGCAAUUAUACAGCGAAACUGCGAAUGGCUCAUUAUAUAAGUUAUCGUUUAUUUGAUAGUACCUUACUACUUGGAUAACCGUGGUAAUUCUAGAGCUAAUACAUGCUAAAAAUCCCGACUUCGGAAGGGAUGUAUUUAUUAGAUUAAAAACCAAUGCCCUCUGGGCUCCUUGGUGAUUCAUAAUAACUUUUCGAAUCGCAUGGCCUUGCGCCGGCGAUGGUUCAUUCAAAUUUCUUCCCUAUCAACUUUCGAUGUUUGGGUAUUGGCCAAACAUGGUCGCAACGGGUAACGGAGGGUUAGGGCUCGACCCCGGAGAAGGAGCCUGAGAAACGGCUACUACAUCCAAGGAAGGCAGCAGGCGCGCAAAUUACCCAAUCCCGAUUCGGGGAGGUAGUGACAAUAAAUACUGAUACAGGGCUCUUUUGGGUCUUGUAAUUGGAAUGAGUACAAUUUAAAUCCCUUAACGAGGAACAAUUGGAGGGCAAGUCUGGUGCCAGCAGCCGCGGUAAUUCCAGCUCCAAUAGCGUAUAUUAAAGUUGUUGUGGUUAAAAAGCUCGUAGUUGAACCUUGGGCCUGGCUGGCCGGUCCGCCUCACCGCGUGUACUGGUCCGGCCGGGCCUUUCCCUCUGUGGAACCUCAUGCCCUUCACUGGGUGUGGCGGGGAAACAGGACUUUUACUUUGAAAAAAUUAGAGUGCUCCAGGCAGGCCUAUGCUCGAAUACAUUAGCAUGGAAUAAUGAAAUAGGACGUGUGGUUCUAUUUUGUUGGUUUCUAGGACCGCCGUAAUGAUUAAUAGGGACAGUCGGGGGCAUCAGUAUUCAAUUGUCAGAGGUGAAAUUCUUGGAUUUAUUGAAGACUAACUACUGCGAAAGCAUUUGCCAAGGAUGUUUUCAUUAAUCAGGAACGAAAGUUAGGGGAUCGAAGACGAUCAGAUACCGUCGUAGUCUUAACCAUAAACUAUGCCGACUAGGGAUCGGACGAUGUUAUUUUUUGACGCGUUCGGCACCUUACGAGAAAUCAAAGUGC